GAUAUAAAGUUUGUAUAUUUACCUUGGCAGCCCUUGUUCUUGCUCUGGACCAACGCGAAAUCGCAGUUUCUUGUUUAUCAAGAUCGAAAAAUGAUAUCGAACUUCUUUUAAGUUCCGCAAAAUCUAACAGCUUCCACCUACAAAAAUGCAUUAAAAUACAAAUAAUUCAGAAACACUACAACCUGCAUGAUUUCAGCAAUUAAAUUAUUUAAAGACUUAUUAAUGCUUAUUGUCUAUUUGAAGUAAUCAAGAAUGAAAACAUACAUUCAAACACCAAAGAAUUCCUGAAAAAACAUCAAGAAAACAAGAAAUCUUGAAAAAAGAAAACUUUUUUUAAAUGAAAAAUCAAAUCUUGAUGUAACUUGGCAAGUAUGAAUGAAAUGAAGGUAAUUCUUUCAAAAAAAAACCUUGAAACUCUCAGAAAACAAGAAAUCCUUAAAAAAAAAAAAAAAAAAAAAAAUCAAACAAACUUUUUUUAAAUGAAAAAUCAAAUCUUGAAACUCUCAUUGUCUAUUUAAAGUAAUCAAGAAUGAGAACAUACAUUCAAUCACCAAAGAAAUUCAGUAAACCCAUCAAGAAAUCUUGAAGAAGAAAAACAAAACUUUUUUUUUAUGAAAAAUCUUGAAAAAGUUUCUAAAUACCCAUUGAGGCAUUUCAUCGAACACCUUAUGGGGAUCAAAUAAAAGAUGCAAAGAUGGAUUCUUAAGAAUCAGAGAAGUGAAAAAGGUGAUACCUUGGAAUGAAUUAUAUUGGGUUGGUUUGGUUGUAUAUACCAGUAGUUUUUUUGAUCUUAUGAGAAUGAAUGACAGAGGAAAUUGUAUUUCAAAGUUGAUGGCAAAGAAGAGCUUAAAUAGAUAGAAGGCAUCAAGCAGUUUCUGAGU
rnacentral:lncRNA from 1 species